UACAGAGGGUGCGAGCGUUGUUCGGAAUUAUUGGGCGUAAAGGGCGCGUAGGCGGCGCCACAAGUCACUUGUGAAAACUCUGGGCUCAACCCAGAGCCUGCAGGCGAAACUGUGGUGCUGGAGUAUGGGAGAGGUGCGUGGAGUUCCCGGUGUAGCGGUGAAAUGCGUAGAUAUCGGGAGGAACACCUGUGGCGAAAGCGGCGCACUGGACCAUAACUGACGCUGAGGCGCGAAAGCUAGGGGAGCAAACAGG
rnacentral:rRNA from 1 species